rnacentral:piRNA from 1 species
UAACCAUGAUCAAGAUUCUUACGGGAU